AAAGGAAUAAUAAUACCAUGAUAGUAUUUUACUAUUGUUAUUGACUUUUCAUUUUUAUCAUUAUGCUUGUUAUAUAAUAUUUUGUUUCCUACAUUAUAUAGGGUGUGAGAAGAGGAGUGGAUCGAUUAGAAUUAAAAAUUAUAGUAACGAUAAUACUACCCGAACGAGAACACAUUUACAAAUGUUAAAAAUCAGAGAAGAGGAGUGGAUCGAUUAAAAUUAAAAAUCUUAGUAACAAUAUUACUAUUCAAAUGAAAACACAUUUACCAAUGAUUAAAAUCAUAGUAAUCUAUAUUACUAUCUAAACGAA
rnacentral:lncRNA from 1 species